rnacentral:rRNA from 1 species
UACGAAGGGGGCGAGCGUUGUUCGGAAUUACUGGGCGUAAAGGGCGCGUAGGCGGCUAUUUAAGUCUGGUGUUUAAACCUUGGGCUCAACCUAAGGUCGCACUGGAAACUGGGUGGCUUGAGUACAGAAGAGGAAAGUGGAAUUCCACGUGUAGCGGUGAAAUGCGUAGAUAUGUGGAGGAACACCAGUGGCGAAGGCGACUUUCUGGGCUGUAACUGACGCUGAGGCGCGAAAGCGUGGGGAGCAAACAGG